AUGGAUUUAAUAAAAAAAAAAAAAAAAAAUCUGUUCUUAUCAGUUUAAUAUCUGAUACGUCCCCCAUCCGGGGACUACAUAUUAAAUGGAUUUUUAGAUCACGGAGCUGGAGCCGGGGCUUGCUCCGUCCACUCCAUGCAUCGGCCUGGUAUUGCAGUGUCUCCAGGAACGGUGUGCUUUCC
rnacentral:snRNA from 1 species